rnacentral:rRNA from 1 species
AUGCCCAUGUGUAUAGGUGAAGUGACAGUAUUACCAGAGGGGGGUGAUGCAGAAGAGGGCUCUGAUGGUGUUGGAACGGUUGUUUCUGUUGAUUGGAAUUCAGUAGAAUUAAAUGGCCCAACUGAUUUAGUCAUUGCACCAAUGGAUGACAUUGAGAUGGCCAAAAAAAUUGGCAUUCCAGUAGCUGAUGAAGAUAAGGAGGAGAAGGAUGGUGAAUCUAGUAUGCCUACUGAUACUGAUGCUAACAGAGAUAGAACUGAAGAUGUGGAUGGACAGCUGAUGGAAGAUGCUACAGAUGAUGUAGAUGAUGCACAUGAUGAUGAGUUGGUAAAUGUGUAUGACAAGGAAAACCCUGUUAUUGUAGUGGGGAAGUUGUUCCCAAACAUGGAUGAGUUUAGGAUGUGUUUCAAGACUUAUGCAGUCAAACAUGAGUUUGAUGCCAAGACUAAGUGGACUGAUAGAAAGAAGUUUUAUGCAAGAUGUAGAGGUUUUGAUGGAAGUGUCAAGCCUUGCAAGUGGUACAUAUCUGCUAGACGCCAACCUGAUGGAAGUACCAUUAGGGUGAAUCAAAUCCCUCACCAACACACUUGUAUUACAAGUUCACAGAGAGUAUCAACCAUGACAUCACAGCUUUGGAUUGCAGAAAAGAUCACUCCUAUUCUAGCCAAGAAACCAAACACUACUACAAAGAAACUUAAAAUAGACUUGGAAAAGCAAUACCCAUUAAGGUGA